rnacentral:rRNA from 1 species
AACGAACGCUGGCGGCAUGCCUAACACAUGCAAGUCGAACGAGACCUUCGGGUCUAGUGGCGCACGGGUGCGUAACGCGUGGGAACCUGCCCUUAGGUUCGGAAUAACUCCCCGAAAGGGGUGCUAAUACCGGAUAAUGUCUUCGGACCAAAGAUUUAUCGCCUUUGGAUGGGCCCGCGUUGGAUUAGCUAGUUGGUAGGGUAAAAGCCUACCAAGGCGACGAUCCAUAGCUGGUCUGAGAGGAUGAUCUGCCACACUGGGACUGAGACACGGCCCAGAAUCCUACGGGAGGCAGCAGUGGGGAAUAUUGGACAAUGGGCGAAAGCCUGAUCCAGCAAUGCCGCGUGAGUGAUGAAGGCAUUAGGGUUGUAAAGCUCUUUUACCCGGGAUGAUAAUGACAGUACCGGGAGAAUAAGCUCCGGCUAACUCCGUG